rnacentral:rRNA from 1 species
CCUACGGGUGGCAGCAGUGGGGAAUAUUGCACAAUGGGGGAAACCCUGAUGUAGCAACGCCGCGUGAGUGAAGAAGUAUUUCGGUAUGUAAAGCUCUAUCAGCAGGGAAGAGAAUGACGGUACCUGACUAAGAAGCCCCGGCUAACUACGUGCCAGCAGCCGCGGUAAUACGUAGGGGGCAAGCGUUAUCCGGAUUUACUGGGUGUAAAGAGUUCGUAGGCGGCAUGUAAAGUCAGGUGUUAAAGGGGCAGGCUCAACCUGUGUAUGGCACUUGAUACUUGCAAGCGGGAAUGCGGUAGAGGUAAAGGGAAGUCCUGGUGUAGCGGUGAAAUGCUUAGAUAUCAGGAGGAACAUCGUGGGCGUAAGCGCUUUACUGGGCCGUAAUUGACGCUGAGGAACGAAAGCCAGGGUAGCAAAUGGGAUUAGAUACCCUAGUAGUC